CAGCACCUACGGGAGGCAGCAGUGGGGAAUAUUGCACAAUGGGGGAAACCCUGAUGCAGCAACGCCGCGUGAGUGAAGAAGGUUUUCGGAUUGUAAAGCUCUGUUAGCAGGGAAGAGGAAGGACGGUACCUGCAGAGGAAGCCACGGCUAACUACGUGCCAGCAGCCGCGGUAAUACGUAGGUGGCAAGCGUUGUUCGGAAUAACUGGACGUAAAGGAUGCGCAGGCGGAUAAAC
rnacentral:rRNA from 1 species